rnacentral:rRNA from 1 species
UACGAAGGGGGCUAGCGUUGCUCGGAAUCACUGGGCGUAAAGCGCACGUAGGCGGAUUGCUAAGUCAGGGGUGAAAUCCUGGAGCUCAACUCCAGAACUGCCUUUGAUACUGGCAACCUUGAGUCCGGGAGAGGUGAGUGGAACUGCGAGUGUAGAGGUGAAAUUCGUAGAUAUUCGGAAGAACACCAGUGGCGAAGGCGACUCACUGGACAUGUAUUGACGCUGAGGUGCGAAAGCGUGGGGAGCAAACAGG